rnacentral:rRNA from 1 species
GACGAACGCUGGCGGCGUGCUUAAUACAUGCAAGUCGAGCGAACAGACCUGGAGCUUUCUCCUCUCACGGUUGCGGCGUGCGUGUGAGUUACAUGUUCAUCACCCACCUAUAAGAUUGGGCUAAUUUACGGGAACCGGAGCCGAUUCCGGCUUAUAUUUUCAACCGCUUUGUUUAAAAGUUUAAGCCGGUUUUUCUUUCCCCUCUACCUUUAUUCUUGCCGCUUUAGCUAGGUGGUAAGGAUACGGCUUACCAAGGCGACGAUGCGUAGCCGACCUGAGAGGGUGAUCGGCCACACUGGAAAUGAGACAAGGUCCAGACUCCGAAGGGAGGCAGCAGUAGGGAAUCUUCGGCAAUGGGCGAAAGCCUGAAGGAGCAACGCCGCGUGAGUGAUGAAGGGCUUCGGAUCGUAAGACUCUGUUAUUAGGGAAGAACAAAUGUGUAAGUAACUAUGCAAGUCUUGACGGUACCUAAUCAGAAAGCCACGGCUAACUACGUG